UACGGAGGGUGCAAGCGUUGUUCGGAAUUAUUGGGCGUAAAGGGCGUGUAGGUGGCUCCCCAAGUCUGGUGUGAAAGCCCACGGCUCAACCGUGGAACUGCAUUGGAAACUGGGGAGCUCGAGUGUUGGAGGGGGUCGCGGAAUUCCCGGUGUAGAGGUGAAAUUCGUAGAUAUCGGGAGGAACACCAGUGGCGAAGGCGACUACCUGGCCUGUUCUUGACGCUGAGGCGCGAAAGCUAGGGGAGCAAACGGG
rnacentral:rRNA from 1 species